rnacentral:tRNA from 1 species
UGGGUUUUUUGUUGCCCGACGUCAUUCGUAAUGAUGGAGUCGGCGGUUCGAAUCCGUCAUGCGGCACCA